rnacentral:rRNA from 1 species
AACGAACGCUGGCGGCAGGCCUAACACAUGCAAGUCGAGCGCGCCCUUCGGGGUGAGCGGCGGACGGGGGAGUAACGCGUGGGAACGUGCCCUUCUCUGCGGAAUAGCCUCGGGAAACUGAGAGUAAUACCGCAUACGCCCUUUGGGGGAAAGAUUUAUCGGAGAAGGAUCGGCCCGCGUUGGAUUAGGUAGUUGGUGGGGUAAUGGCCCACCAAGCCGACGAUCCAUAGCUGGUUUGAGAGGAUGAUCAGCCACACUGGGACUGAGACACGGCCCAGACUCCUACGGGAGGCAGCAGUGGGGAAUCUUAGACAAUGGGGGCAACCCUGAUCUAGCCAUGCCGCGUGAGUGAUGAAGGCCUUAGGGUUGUAAAGCUCUUUCAGCUGGGAAGAUAAUGACGGUACCAGCAGAAGAAGCCCCGGCUAACUCCGUG